ACACUCCUACGGGAGGCAGCAGUGGGGAAUAUUGGACAAUGGGCGCAAGCCUGAUCCAGCCAUGCCGCGUGAGUGAUGAAGGCCCUAGGGUUGUAAAGCUCUUUCACCGGUGAAGAUAAUGACGGUAACCGGAGAAGAAGCCCCGGCUAACUUCGUGCCAGCAGCCGCGGUAAUACGAAGGGGGCUAGCGUUGUUCGGAUUUACUGGGCGUAAAGCGCACGUAGGCGGACUAUUAAGUCAGGGGUGAAAUCCCGGGGCUCAACCCCGGAACUGCCUUUGAUACUGGUAGUCUUGAGUUCGAGAGAGGUGAGUGGAAUUCCGAGUGGAGAGGUGAAAUUCGUAGAUAUUCGGAGGAACACCAGUGGCGAAGGCGGCUCACUGGCUCGAUACUGACGCUGAGGUGCGAAAGCGUGGGGAGCAAACAGGAUUAGAAACCCCGGUAGUCCC
rnacentral:rRNA from 1 species